rnacentral:rRNA from 1 species
GAUGAACGCUAGCGGCAGGCCUAAUACAUGCAAGUCGAGGGGCAGCACAGGGUAGCAAUACCUGGGUGGCGACCGGCAAACGGGUGCGGAACACGUACAGAACCUUCCUUCGAGCGGGGAAUAGCCCAGAGAAAUUUGGAUUAAUACCCCAUAGUAUAGUGGUGUGGCAUCACACUGUUAUUAAAGAUUUAUCACUUGAAGAUGGCUGUGCGUAUGAUUAGGUAGUUGGCGGGGUAACGGCCCACCAAGGCUGGGAUCAUUAACUGGUGGUGGAGCACGACCAGUCACACGGGCACUGAGACACGGGCCCGACUCCUACGGGAGGCAGCAGUAAGGAAUAUUGGUCAAUGGACGCAAGUCUGAACCAGCCAUGCCGCGUGGAGGAUGAAGGUCCUCUGGAUUGUAAACUUCUUUUAUCUGGGACGAAAAAAGGCUUUUCUAAGUCGUCUGACGGUACCAGAUGAAUAAGCACCGGCUAACUCCGUGCCAGCCGCCGCCGUAACAC